rnacentral:rRNA from 1 species
AGUGAACGCUGGCGGUAGGCCUAACACAUGCAAGUCGAACGGCAGCACAGUAAGAGCUUGCUCUUACGGGUGGCGAGUGGCGGACGGGUGAGGAAUACAUCGGAAUCUACUUUUUCGUGGGGGAUAACGUAGGGAAACUUACGCUAAUACCGCAUACGACCUACGGGUGAAAGCAGGGGAUCUUCGGACCUUGCGCGAUUGAAUGAGCCGAUGUCGGAUUAGCUAGUUGGCGGGGUAAAGGCCCACCAAGGCGACGAUCCGUAGCUGGUCUGAGAGGAUGAUCAGCCACAAUGGAACUGAGACACGGUCCAGACUCCUACGGGAGGCAGCAGUGGGGAAUAUUGGACAAUGGGCACAAGCCUGAUCCAGCCAUACCGCGUGGGUGAAGAAGGCCUUCGGGUUGUAAAGCCCUUUUGUUGGGAAAGAAAAGCAGCAGGUUAAUACCCCGCUGUUCUGACGGUACCCAAAGAAUAAGCACCGGCUAACUUCGUG